UGCCAAUUCCUGGUCCUCAUUCUCACAGGAACUGAUACACCCUUGUACCUUGGUUUUAGGCUCAGUUAUCUCUAGACCUUCAUUCCCCCAGAAACAUAAAGGCAACCAGCAAGCACGUGGAGUCCUUCCAGACAGUGGCUGAUGAACGAUGGAAUACACACUCAGGAGUGAGCAGUAGAAAAUUGAGAAAUGAAAAUGAAGAGAGUUGGCAACAGAAAAAAUAGUGGGAAGAGAAGAACAGUGGCUGAAAGCUGAUUCUUUCAUAGGUUCUGUGGAAGAAGCAUGGAGAGCCAAGGGAAGGUCUGCAAUGCAUGCUUGAGGUAUG
rnacentral:lncRNA from 1 species